GACCACCAGUAGUGAUAGGGCUUGCUUUACUCAAGGAGGAAGUCCUUAACAACUCGAUCUACCCAGGCAAACACAACAAUCAUUCAGCUUUUUGUUUCAUUUUUUCCUUAACCUAUCACCAUGAAACAAAAUACACACAUAUAGAAAUGAGCAAAGAGCUUUAAAUACUAGCUGCCCAAGAGAUGCUUAGCCUCCUGUUCCAGCCACUGGAGUUGAGGGGUGGAGGCACGUGAUGUCACGGAAAGGGAAUGCUCGCUAGUCUUCAAGCAGUCCCCUAAGGGAUCUUUGAUCUCAGGCUGAAUGGAGGAAGAAGAGCUUUUCUAGUUGACGCCUGUCACAGAGAUCUGAUGAAGUCAAUGUAAAUGAGUCCGCAGAAGCUUGAUAGCCUAUAGAAGUCCUUGAAAAUCCCGAAUGGCACGAGAAGGUUGAAAACUAGUCAAGAUGCUGAUAUCUUCAAGAAGUUAAAUAUAACCUAAAAAAAUUAUUUGUCACAGAAUAAGGUUGGUUUAAAAAAUUGUAAAGGGGAGGAGAGUGGAGAUUCAAGCCUAGAGAGGAAGGCUGAAUAAGAAGAAAGUAAUUGUGAAGUCAACUGUAAAAUAUUUCCUGGGUCUCACCUGGUAAAUCCACACGGGCUUCCUGAAAGAGGAAGGCUAGAGUUACUUUUGAGUUGCCUUUCAAAUGAUAAGCAGGGUCCUUGAGUAAACAGGAAAUGAAAGACUCGAGAGAGUAGCUGAGGAAGGAUGCAGAAGUGAAAAGGAGAGGGGAGCCAUCAGCACCCCAGAUUUAAUUUGAUGGAGAAUUUUCUCUAUUUGUUUAUGUGUGUGCCCGUCUUUAUUAGACUGUCUGUUUGCCUUUCAAGGGCUGGGACUGUGCCUCAUUCACCUUCAUAUUCUAGUAUAAUGCAAGCUUAGGAAAUUAUUGUCUAAAUACAUACACUCAGACAUAAAUGGAUGAGAGUAAGAAUAAAGGCAUAAGUGGUGGUAUUUAGCAGCAGCCUUGGCUGUGAGCUUAAGACUGUUUUUUGUGACCUGCCAUCUUCCUUUGCGCAACAACACAGCUCAUGAUGAUGUUCCAGAGCAUUUUGCCACCAGAAAAUGAGGCUUGCUUUUGGUCUUUUGAAGGAAGACUGCAGUGAACAGUUAAAUUGACUUUAAAUUUAGCAGCAUUGGGCAAGAAUAGAAAUGUUCUAAUCCUGUCUCCUCCUACGGAAUGUGAAUUGUGGUCAAAGUAAUAUGUUUUUGCCUUCUGUGAUUUCGAUCAAAUUUCAUAGGCCAGACAGGGCGUAGGGAGCCAGGCUGCACAGCCACUCUCCCUGGUAAACAGUGUCACACCUCCCUUGGACAGCCCAGGGUACCAUGUGUGCCCUGGCGUUACAGACACCUCACCAGGGCUUGUCUGUUCUCCCUGCCUUGUUUCUCAGCCCAGUGUUCAUGUGGAGUUUGGCUUCCUCUUCUUAGAACUGGGAAAGGCAACGCUGUGCAGGUGUGAGAGGUACAUACACAUGCGCCCAGAAGAUGCUGCCCCAGAAAAACAUACCCAGGGCCUGUAUUUGACUCAGAGUUUAAGGUCUUACUUUUCAUUAGAAAAUAAGAUCACUAGCUCUAAAAUUUCCACUGGGGAAGACUGGGUUGGCUUAGCAGGGCAGUGCUAUCUGAUGGGCAGCUGUAUUCUAUAAAGUAGAUGAGGGAAGAUGACAGAAUGGCAUGUCUGUGGGCAGAAAGCAGAAGGGAAAUUGGCUUCCCUUCAUAGGCCACUAAGGAAAGGGUUAUCCAGUGGCCUGCUGGAUUUGACACUAUCUGCCUGCCACAUCUGAGCUCAGCAUUUUUGCUUUGACACGCAUGGGUCAUUCUACCCAUUGAGCUUCAGCAAUUCCCUAUUACAGAUGCUUAUUGGCAACAGAAUCUUAAGUCCAAUAAAGGAGCAAAGAGAUUUUACUUUGGAAGGAAAUACUAUGGAUUCUUCAGUCAUUCAGAGGCCUCACCUCCUCCCUUAAUGAGUGCUCCCAAUGUAAAGGUAUAAUGACUGGCUAACUAAAUGCUUUGGGGGUAUAGGAAUGAGGACACACAUCUAGAAAAGUGGAUUUUAGAAGAAGAAAAGACAGUAUAAUGAAAACAAGUUUAAGAAAGAGCAAAAAUAAAAUUUGACUUAUGUAUAUCAA
rnacentral:lncRNA from 1 species